GCUGGGCAUAGUGGCGCGUGCCUGUAAUCCCAGCUACUCCGGAGGCCGAGGCAGGAGAAUUGCUUGAACCCAGGAAGUGGAGGUUGCAGUGAGCCAAGACUGUGCCAUUGCACUCCAGCCUGGGUGACAGAGCAAGACUUUGUCUCAA
rnacentral:SRP_RNA from 1 species